rnacentral:misc_RNA from 1 species
AGUCGUAACAAGGUUUCCGUAGGUGAACCUGCGGAAGGAUCAUUAACAAAUCAAAUCAAAUCAAAUCGUUGGUGAUUGCUCGGUGCUAUGUGCGUGCCGGGCAAUCACCACAUUAACCAACCGGAUCUCCGAGAGGAGAUUCGCCUGCAUCAUGAGAGAUGCAGAAAUAGGCGGCGUGCUUGUAUUGUCUUAACAUAACACAAAAAUUACAAUUACAACUUUUAACAACGGAUCUCUGGGCUCUU